UUAAGGUUUAACCUGCCCACUGAAAUUUUAAAUGGCCGUGGUAUUUUGACCGUGCUAAGGUAGCAUAAUCAUUAGUUUUUUAAUUGAAAACUGGAAUGAAAGGUUGGAUAAGAAAAUGACUGUCUCUACUAAAUUUUAUUAGAAUUUUAUUUUUAAGUUAAAAAGCUUAAAUAAAGUUAAAAGACGAGAAGACCCUAUAGAGUUUAAUUAUUUAAUAAAAAUAAUAUUUUAGUAUUUAUUUAUUAAUUAUAUUAAAUAAUUUAAUUGGGGUGAUUGAAAAAUUAGAAUAACUUUUUUUUAUUUAAAAACAUAAAUUUAUGGGUGAAUGAUCCAAUAUUUUUGAUUAUAAGAUAAAAUUACCUUAGGG
rnacentral:rRNA from 1 species